rnacentral:piRNA from 1 species
UGGUAAAUUAUGAAAAGGUUCUCCUAAGC